rnacentral:lncRNA from 10 species
AGAAGAAGCACCUUAACACACAGCAGUUGACAGCCUUUCAGCUGCUGUUUGCCUGGAGGGAUAAAACAGCUCGCAGGGAAGAUGAAAGUUACGGGUAAGGGAUUAGAGGUUCUUUUAAUACUUGUUUCCAGACUGAGGAGAUCUAAUAACAAGUAAAUAAUGGGCUUUUUUCUUUUGCUAUGAAAGCUGGUUAUUUCCCCUAUGUGACAGCAUCUAAUGGAACUUACUGGCUGAAUGUAAUGUGUCCCCACCGUGUGUGUGUGUGUGUGUGUGUGUGUGUGUGUGUGUGUGUGUUUUUUUUUUUCCAGAUAUGUACUGCCAAACCACAUGAUGCUGAAAAUAGCUGAAGAACUGCCUAAGGAACCUCAGGGCAUCAUAGCUUGCUGCAACCCAGUACCGCCCCUUGUGCGGC